UACGUAGGGUGCGAGCGUUAAUCGGAAUUACUGGGCGUAAAGCGUGCGCAGGCGGUGAGCUGUGUCCGAUGUGAAAGCCCCGGGCUUAACCUGGGAAUGGCAUUGGAGACUGCAAGGCUAGAAUCUGGCAGAGGGGGGUAGAAUUCCACGUGUAGCAGUGAAAUGCGUAGAGAUGUGGAGGAACACCGAUGGCGAAGGCAGCCCCCUGGGUCAAGAUUGACGCUCAUGCACGAAAGCGUGGGGAGCAAACAGG
rnacentral:rRNA from 1 species